rnacentral:rRNA from 1 species
AAUAUUGCACAAUGGGCGAAAGCCUGAUGCAGCAACGCCGCGUGAGCGAGGAAGGCCUUUGGGUCGUAAAGCCCUGUCGAGAAGGAAGAUAAUGACGGUACUUCUCGAGGAAGCCCCGGCUAACUACGUGCCAGCAGCCGCGGUAAUACGUAGGGGGCGAGCGUUAUCCGGAAUUAUUGGGCGUAAAGAGUGCGUAGGUGGUUGUUUAAGCGUGGGGUGAAAGGCAAUAGCUUAACUAUUGUAAGCCCCGCGAACUGGAUAACUUGAGUGCAGGAGAGGAAAGCGGAAUUCCUAGUGUAGCGGUGAAAUGCGUAGAUAUUAGGAGGAACACCAGUGGCGAAGGCGGCUUUCUGGACUGUAACUGACACUGAGGCACGAAAGCGUGGGGAGCAAACAGG